CAGUCGCCACGGGAAGACAGAGGAUGCAAGCGUUAUCCGGAAUGAUUGGGCGUAAAGCGUCUGUAGGUGGCUUUUCAAGUCCGCCGUCAAAUCCCAGGGCUCAACCCUGGACAGGCGGUGGAAACUACCAAGCUGGAGUACGGUAGGGGCAGAGGGAAUUUCCAGUGGAGCGGUGAAAUGCGUUGAGAUCGAAAAGAACACCAACAGCGAAAGCACUCUGCUGGGACGACUCUGACACUAAGAGACGAAAGCUAGGGGAGCAAAUGGGAUUAGAUACCCCGGUAGUCCCUGUCUCUUAUAC
rnacentral:rRNA from 1 species